AUACCUAAUAGAUUUAUUAGUUUUAAAUUUAAUUACAGAAACGUUUUGGAAGUGGUAUCAAAGAACAUACACAGUGCACAUCACGGACAAAUUUGAGGAUCUGGUCGAAGUCGUCGAAGAACCCGAGUUAGCGGAGACUAAAAGAGAAAAAGAUACAAAAAAGACGGAUAUACUUCGCAAGAUGGAUGGGCUACUGUUGUAGGUGAAAAGUUGAGAG